rnacentral:rRNA from 1 species
CGUGUAGGUGGUCAGGUAAGUGGAAUGUGAAAUGCCCCGGCUCACCCGGGGACCGGCAUCCCAAACUGCCUGGCUUGAGUAUGGGAGAGGAUGGAGGAAUUCCUGGUGUAGCGGUGAAAUGCGUAGAUAUCAGGAGGAACACCGGUGGCGAAGGCGUCCAUCUGGCCCAAUACUGACGCUGAGGCGCGAAAGCUAGGGGAGCAAACGG